AACGCGAAGAACCUUACCAACCCUUGACAUGGGCGUCGCGGAUCCAGAGAUGGGUCUUUCAGUUCGGCUGGACGCCACACAGGUGCUGCAUGGCUGUCGUCAGCUCGUGUCGUGAGAUGUUCGGUUAAGUCCGGCAACGAGCGCAACCCACACUCUUAGUUGCCAGCAUUCAGUUGGGCACUCUAGGAGAACUGCCGGUGAUAAGCCGGAGGAAGGUGUGGAUGACGUCAAGUCCUCAUGGCCCUUACGGGUUGGGCUACACACGUGCUACAAUGGUGGUGACAAUGGGAUAAUCCCCAAAAGCCAUCUCAGUUCGGAUUGGGGUCUGCAACUCGACCCCAUGAAGUCGGAAUCGCUAGUAAUCGCGUAACAGCAUGACGCGGUGAAUACGUUCCCGGGUCUUGUACACACCG
rnacentral:rRNA from 1 species